CACGUAGGCGGAUGUGUCAGUCAGGGGUGAAAUCCCGGAGCUCAACUUCGGAACUGCCCUUGAUACAGCACGUCUUGAGUCCGAUAGAGGUGGGUGGAAUUCCUAGUGUAGAGGUGAAAUUCGUAGAUAUUAGGAAGAACACCGGUGGCGAAGGCGGCCCACUGGAUCGGUACUGACGCUGAGGUGCGAAAGCGUGGGGAGCGAACA
rnacentral:rRNA from 1 species